rnacentral:rRNA from 1 species
GACGAACGCUGGCGGCGUGCUUAACACAUGCAAGUCGAACGGAAAGGCCCUGCUUUUGUGGGGUGCUCGAGUGGCGAACGGGUGAGUAACACGUGAGUAACCUGCCCUUGACUUUGGGAUAACUUCAGGAAACUGGGGCUAAUACCGGAUAGGAGCUCCUGCUGCAUGGUGGGGGUUGGAAAGUUUCGGCGGUUGGGGAUGGACUCGCGGCUUAUCAGCUUGUUGGUGGGGUAGUGGCUUACCAAGGCUUUGACGGGUAGCCGGCCUGAGAGGGUGACCGGCCACAUUGGGACUGAGAUACGGCCCAGACUCCUACGGGAGGCAGCAGUGGGGAAUAUUGCACAAUGGGCGGAAGCCUGAUGCAGCAACGCCGCGUGCGGGAUGACGGCCUUCGGGUUGUAAUCCGCUUUCGCCUGUGACGAAGCGUGAGUGACGAUAAUGGGUAAAGAAGCACCGGCUAACUACGUG